rnacentral:rRNA from 1 species
UACGGGGGGAGCAAGCGUUGUUCGGAUUUACUGGGCGUAAAGGGCGCGUAGGCGGCGUGACAAGUCACUUGUGAAAUCUCCGGGCUUAACCCGGAACGGUCAAGUGAUACUGUCGUGCUAGAGUACAGAAGGGGCAACUGGAAUUCUCGGUGUAGCGGUGAAAUGCGUAGAUAUCGAGAGGAACACCUGCGGUGAAGGCGGGUUGCUGGGCUGAUACUGACGCUGAGGCGCGAAAGCCAGGGGAGCGAACGGG